AUGUAUUAAUUAAAUGUGGAUUCUUACUGGGCUACAAUAAGGCUAAUUAAUAAGGCUCAAGUAUCUAUUUCUAACCAAAUUGCUUACUAUCUUAUUAAUUAAUUAAUUAGCUCUAUUGUAACUCAAUAAUAAUGUGGAUGUAUUGUUUGAGUAAUAAAAUUUAUUGAAUUCUUUGUAUACAUAAUAAUUGAACUGAUCAAGCAAAGUGAGUAAAGCCCAUUUCAUUAUACUCAAAUAGUAUAUUUAAAUAAAUUCCUCUGAAACAGCUUGAGUGAUCUCAACCAAAUUUCGUAUGGACAUCAAGUUCAGAGUCUGCGCUGGCCCUAACAAGAGCAAAGGAAACACUAAACUUCUUUCUUGAAUAUAAAAUUUAGAACAUAUGGAAGCUCAGUAGAACUAUAUAGUUCUACCUUGUUAUUUUACCUGAAGAUGCCCUUCAAACAAAGCCAAAAAUGUUUGUGUUCAAAAACUCAACAUGCUAGAAGUUGUAUGGAAGAGGGAUGCCUACUUAAUCUUUACCAUAAUCUCUUUUUGAUAAAAUAAAAACAUUUAUAAUUUCCAUAUUCAUAUUAUUAAAUUUCAUAUUUAUAUAUGGCUGUUCAAAAAUCUGCAAUUAACAGUCUGAUAAUGAAACCAAAAUAACUUUGAUAAUCUUUAAAAAUAUUUAUUAACUGACUCC